GACGAACGCUGGCGGCGUGCUUAACACAUGCAAGUCGAACGGUAAGGCCCUUCGGGGUACACGAGUGGCGAACGGGCGAGUAACACGUGGGUGAUCUACCCUGCACUUCGGGAUAAGCCUGGGAAACUGGGUCUAAUACCGGAUAGGACUACGGACUGCAUGGUCUGGGGUGGAAAGCUUUUGCGGUGUGGGAUGGGCCCGCGGCCUAUCAGCUUGUUGGUGGGGUGAUGGCAUACCAAGGCGACGACGGGUAGCCGGCCUGAGAGGGUGACCGGCCACACUGGGACUGAGAUACGGCCCAGACUCCUACGUGAGGCAGCAGUGGGGAAUAUUGCACAAUGGGCGCAAGCCUGAUGCAGCGACGCCGCGUGAGAGAUGACGGCCUUCGGGUUGUAAACCUCUUUCAGCGUCGACGAAGCGAAAGUGACGGUAGGUGCAGAAGAAGGACCGGCCAACUACGUGCCAGCCGCCGCCGUAA
rnacentral:rRNA from 1 species